AUUGAACGCUGGCGGCAGGCCUAACACAUGCAAGUCGAGCGAGAGGCGGACGGGUGAGUAAUGUAUGUGGAUCUGCCUGAUGGCUGGGGAUAACUACUGGAAACGGUAGCUAAUACCGCAUACCAUCAGAUGAACCCAUAUGGGAUUAGCUUGUAGGUGAGGUAAAGGCUCACCUAGGCGACGAUCCCUAGCUGGUCUGAGAGGAUGAUCAGCCACACUGGGACUGAGACACGGUCCAGACUCCUACGGGAGGCAGCAGUGGGGAAUAUUGCACAAUGGGCGCAAGCCUGAUGCAGCCAUGCCGCGUGUAUGAAGAAGGCCUUCGGGUUGUAAAGUACUUUCAGUCGGGAGGCGUUACCGACAGAAGAAGCACCGGCUAACUCCGUGCCAGCAGCCGCGGUAAUUC
rnacentral:rRNA from 1 species